CCCUUAGAAGUUCUGGGCUGCACGCGCGCGACACUGAUGCGCUCAAGGAGUUUACGACCUUGCCUGGAAAGGUUGGGUAAUCUUCUUAAAAAACAUCGUGAUGGAGCUAGAUUAUUGCAACUAUUAAUCUUCAACGAGGAAUUCCUAGUAAGCGCGAGUCAUCAGCUCGUGCUGAUUACGUCCCUGCCCUUUGUACACACCGCCCGUCGCUCCUACCGAUUGCGUGCUACUGAAUAAUUCGGACUGCAGCAACGUUCGGUUCCUGAAUGUCGCAGUGGAAAGUUUAGUGAACCUUAUCACUUAGAGAAAAAAAAGUCGUAACA
rnacentral:rRNA from 1 species